UACGGGGGGAGCAAGCGUUGUUCGGAUUUACUGGGCGUAAAGGGCGCGUAGGCGGUCAGCACAAGUCAGUUGUGAAAUCUCCGGGCUUAACUCGGAAAGGUCAACUGAUACUGUGCGACUAGAGUGCAGAAGGGGCAACUGGAAUUCUCGGUGUAGCGGUGAAAUGCGUAGAUAUCGAGAGGAACACCUGCGGCGAAGGCGGGUUGCUGGGCUGACACUGACGCUGAGGAGCGAAAGCUGGGGGAGCAAACAGG
rnacentral:rRNA from 1 species